UAUAUCUCACCAUCCUUAUCCCCCAUCCACUGUCAUACUCGACACACCCAUUCCUUUUUCUUCAUUUCUUCCAUGCCAACUUCAUCACCAUAUAUCAUGUUCUUCUUUCUCCUUCAAUCAAAGACAAACCACCACCGUCCAUUCUUCUCCUUCUCCUCUCUAUGGCCUCAAAAGGAGCAGCACCCACACGCACCACAUGAGCCACCACCUUCACGUUUUCUUCCUCUCCAUGGCAGCACCUCACCAUCACCACCGCCCCUCCUCCUCACCAUGGCUGUUGUGUCCAGCCAAGAGGCCACCACGAGGAGGCCAGCACCACAAGGAACACGUACAGCCCCAUUCAUCAUAUGGUAUUGUUCAAGCUUCAUCAUCCAUAUCAUGACAAGGAGACACCAUCACCAUGCCACUUUACUUCCUCAUGUGGGUACGAAGGACGAAAGCGCCUUGCGGCGAAGCUAAAGAAUAAAAGGAAGCGAGCCGACGUGGAAAACAAAGAUGUGAUUGGAUUGAAGUUGCAGUUUAGGAAAGAAAUUGGCUAAGAUGCCGUUGACGGAUUGUUUCGUGAUGCUUCGUCGUACGGGGAAGACCCGGAGCGAAAUGACUACUACUGAGCCUUCGACGUGGACCCGGACUGAAUUCAUGACCAGAUGAGGGUCGAUGAUGGAAGUAUAGGGUAUGGGUGUUUAGAGUCUACUAAGGUUGGGUGUUAGUGUCCUAGCUCUAACUUAUUCUUAUUUUUGAGGGCUUGUGUUGCUGACACUUGACCUUUCUUUUGGUUUGUACUUUUGCCUACGGGCGUUACCUUUUCUUACUUCCCGUCACUGGAGUUUUACUCGUGACGUGGUUUACUACUUACAGCGGGGGCUGUAAUAUAUAUUGUGUAUUAGUUCUGCUA